GUAGUCGUGGCCGAGAGGUUAAGGCGAUGGACAAGAAAUCCAUUGGGGUGUCCCCGCGCAGGUUCGAAUCCUGCAGACUACG
rnacentral:tRNA from 2 species